rnacentral:rRNA from 1 species
GCCAACUACGUGCCAGCAGCCGCGGUAAUACGUAGGGUCCGAGCGUUGUCCGGAAUUAUUGGGCGUAAAGAGCUCGUAGGCGGUGUGUCGCGUCGGGAGUGAAAACCCAGGGCUUAACUCUGGGCUGGCUUCCGAUACGGGCACACUAGAGGUAUGCAGGGGAGAACGGAAUUCCUGGUGUAGCGGUGAAAUGCGCAGAUAUCAGGAGGAACACCGGUGGCGAAGGCGGUUCUCUGGGCAUGACCUGACGCUGAGGAGCGAAAGUGUGGGGAGCGAACAGGAUUAGAUACCCUUGUAGUC